UUCUGAUUAACUCAGUUGGCUAGAGCGUCCCGAAAGCAUUCGGGAAGGUCACCGGUUCGACUCCGGUAUUAUUCUCCU
rnacentral:tRNA from 1 species